ACCAGCCCUUGGGAACCGAUUGAGCUCAUAAGUCAAGGGUCCACUGUAUUCCAAACAUGAGUUAUUUGAAUAGUUAUGCUUUCUAAGGAUUUCCCGGUCCAUUUCCUCAGGAUUUCUGGGAAGUUUGAUAGCUCUGUUUUAGAGAAGGUUGUAAACUGUGGCCAGGGGAAGUUGAGAGACCCCAUCCAGGCUGUAGGAUGAGUUCCCUUAUGGGGAGAGGGGACACGGCCCCUCUUGCAGUUGUAGGCUAAGUUGGCUAAGAGUGAGGUGGGAGUCGGGAGGAAGGUGGAGCUGGUGUUGGCUGUUGGCUGAUGCCUUGAGUUGGUUUGAAUUGAGCUAGAGAGGAAGGACAAGCUGUGGUUAUGCUUUGAUUUACAUUGGUGUGUGAUUUAUGCACUCUGUUAGACCAGCUGCUUUCUUCCCCUGUUCCUCUAACAGGCAGGCUCAUUGCUGGAGAUGACUGUCAGCUGCCUUCUCUGCGAAGUCAACAUCACAUGCCUCACCACUGGAGCCUGGGAAGCCUGACCACAGACCGGCAUCUCCAAGGCAUGAAUAAUUAGGUAGGCAUAAUGGAAGGCACUCACUGCACCCUUCGAUUGCGUAAACCCAUUACAGAACUCUGCUACAUCAGCUUCUGUCUUCCAAAGGGGGAAGUCAGAGGAUUUUCAUACAAGGGCACUGUAAUUCUAGACAGAUCCAAUAAAGGUUUUCAUAACUGCUACCAAGUCAGGGAGGAGUCAGACACCAUUAGCCUCAGCCAGCAGCUGAAUGAACUUCCAGGCGACAUAUUUUUCAAGCCGACUCCCACGAAAGACAUUCUCACUGAGCUGUACAAGCUCACAGCAGAGAGGGAGAGACUGCUGGCCGAUCUGUGGAGCUCGAACCACAUCCUGGGCAUUUCCAUGGGGAACCAGGAGGGGAAGCUGCUGGAGCUGUCUAUGAGUCUGGCUCCUGAGGACGACUGUUCCCAGGGUGCUGGUGACUGGUGGGAGGAGUGCCCUGUGGGCCAGCUCAAUAAGAGGAGCACCCAUGGGAACAAAAAGCCCCGAAGGUCUGGUGGAAGGAGAGAGAGCUUUGAGGUGCAGAAGAGAACAAGAAGGAAAGGGCGUGGAGGCCAGGAAUCCACUCCUCAGAUGGGGAAGGACCAGAUCUCUUCCAGCAAUUGCCUUCCUCCUUCUGGAGCAUGGCUUAAUCUUCGGCUCCUAGAAGAAAGAGGAAACUUGGUUCCAAAUGGAGUACUCACAUCUUCCCUGCAGAGGAGAGAAGGCUGCCCUCCAGACAUCCCUGUGACACCAGAUGCAGACCUUGGCUUUGCGAACUUCCAGACGGCCUCAGAGGACACUGGGCUUGGAAGAGGACUGCUGCCCCUUGACAGCAGCGCCACAGAUACAGUAGAGGAUGGUGUUCAAGAGCCACCCAGGAGGCCUCACAGGCCGGAGCAUCAGCAGACAGGUUUGCCUGAAAGUCAGGAGGGUGCUAAGAAGCAUCCUGAGGCCCAGAGGGGUGGCCUAGGGAAGCUGGCUGAGCAGACCUGCAGGAAGAAACCCUUUUCCAAAGUGGUGGCCAAAGUCCGGGGUCUGUUCACUCGGGUGCAAAGAGUAGUUAAUGUGGAUCCCGAGCGUGAGGAAAAGAUUGCUGUUAACCCAGAGGUCAAAGCUGAGUUUGUAACCAGCGUGGACUCGCUCACCCUCCCAGGAGCUGAGGCUGGGGCUCAUGGUUCCAGGUGGCAGAGCAAGAAGCAGCAAGGGACCAGGUCGCUGCAGUUGCCAGCCAGAGAAAAAGCCUCUGUUUCUAGCUUACCAGCCAGCACCGACAGGGCUGUGAACAAGGUCCUCCGGAAGGUGAUUGAGAGUGAGAAGUUAGACGAAGCCACCAAGGGGCAGAGGCUGAGUGUCCCUGUCAACACGAGGGCCACCCAGGGCCUCCCAGAAACCAGAAGCAAGAGAAGGACUGGGGUGCCCCGGAGGGGCCACAAAUCCUCAUUUGUGGAUCUGCCCCACACUAUAGGUCCUGACUCCCUAACUCUAGAGUGCAGAGGUGGUGAGAGGAAGCCAUCGGCCCCAGUACCAGCAGCUCCCGGCAUGGGAUUUAAUAAUUCAUCCUCUCAGUCCAGCUCACACCAGCAGCAGCCACCUGCUCUCUUGCCUCUCUAUCCAAGGCAUCCCAGCCCUCACCAGCAUCACAGGAUCCUCCAGCUUCCUCCACCGCCCAGUGAGAGGGAAAGUGCUCUUAAUGACUCUCCCAGUAGACAGAGCAGUAUCUUCUCUGCAUCCCUCUCUGCUGACACAUUGGAGCCACCAUCUUCUGCAAAGGUCACGGAGACCAAAGGAGCCAGCCCGGCCUCCCUUGGAGCAGACCAACCUCAGUUGGCAGCUGGGGAAGCUUCGGAAAAGAGCGUGGGCCUGGGAGACACCACAGCCGAGCCUCAGCAGCCAUCACCUCCAGAAUACCAAGCUGCUAUUUUACACUUGAAGAGGGAGCACAAAGAAGAAAUUGAAAACCUGCAGGCCCAGUUUGAACUUCGGGCAUUUCAUAUUCGGGGGGAGCAUGCAGCGAUUACAGCGCGGCUGGAAGAAACCAUUGACAAUCUCAGACUCGAGUUAGAACACCGGCGGCCAGGAGGGUGCGUGGAGCUGAGAGACGCCUGCGUGUCCACCGACGACUGCCCUCCAAAGGCCUACAGAAACGUGUGCGUCCAGACCGACAGGGAGACCUUCCUCAAACCCUGCGAGGGUGACAGCAAGACAACCAGAAGUAACCCCAUAGUGCCCAAGAAGCUGAACAUCUCCUCCUUAAGCCAGCUGUCUCCCUCAAGUGACAACAAAGACGCCCCCACACCACUUCGGAAUGGGGAAGGCACAUCCCCAAGUCGCCCAAAGACGGCUCCCCCACCGCCCCCGCCCCCGCCCCUUCCCAUCCCACCCCCUCCACCCCUCCCACCUGGACC
rnacentral:lncRNA from 1 species